rnacentral:rRNA from 1 species
UUACACAUGCAAGUCGAACGGGGUUUAAGAGCUUGCUCUUAAAUCUAGUGGCGAACGGGUGAGUAACAUAUCGGAACGUAUCCAAUAAUGGGGGAUAACUAAUCGAAAGGUUGGCUAAUACCGCAUACGCCCUACGGGGGAGAGCAGGGGAUCUUCGGACCUUGCGUUAAUGGAGCGGCCGAUAUCUGAUUAGCUAGUUGGUGGGGUAAAGGCUCACCAAGGCGACGAUCAGUAGCUGGUCUGAGAGGACGACCAGCCACACUGGAACUGAGACACGGUCCAGACUCCUACGGGAGGCAGCAGUGGGGAAUUUUGGACAAUGGGCGCAAGCCUGAUCCAGCCAUUCCGCGUGAGUGAAGAAGGCCUUCGGGUUGUAAAGCUCUUUCGCAAGGGAAGAAACGUUACUGGUGAAUAACCAGUGAUAAUGACGGUACCUUGAUAAGAAGCACCGGCCAACUACGUGCCAGCAGCCGUGGUAAUACGUAGGGUGCGAGCGUUAAUCGGAAUUACUGGGCGUAAAGCGUGCGCAGGCGGUUUUGUAAGUCAGAUGUGAAAUCCCCGAGCUCAACUUGGGAACUGCGUUUGAAACUACAAGACUAGAAUAGGUCAGAGGGGGGUAGAAUUCCACGUGUAGCAGUGAAAUGCGUAGAGAUGUGGAGGAAUAUCAAUGGCGAAGGCAGCCCCCUGGGAUCAUAUUGACGCUCAUGCACGAAAGCGUGGGGAGCAAACAGGAUUAGAUACCCUGGUAGUCCACGCCCUAAACGAUGUCAACUAGUUGUUGGUAGAGUAAAAUCUAUGAGUAACGCAGCUAACGCGUGAAGUUGACCGCCUGGGGAGUACGAUCGCAAGAUUAAAACUCAAAUGAAUUGACGGGGGCCCGCACAAGCGGUGGAU